rnacentral:lncRNA from 1 species
AAUUUCAGCGUUCUUUCUGCAAUGGAAACAAAUAGCAUAAAAGAAUACUACAUGUUCUCAGAAUGAAAUGCUAUCUUCUGCUUUAAUUCCUAUGUUCGACAGCCUAGUAGUGACCUCACAGUGGAUUCUGUGAUGAAAACUAUGCUGCAGCUGGAGACUCGAGUCUCCAGUCAUGUGGAGUGCUAUCUCACACCUGUGCUCACGAAGCCAAUGUGUGUGCUUCCCUUUGCCUCAACCCCUUCAGGCUUUAGUUCCUCACAACUUUGGGCUGGGAAGCAAGAACAGGAUUCUUGAUUCUUCAGGGGAUACUCAGGUGGAGGAGGAAGAAGAAAUCAGCAUUUGGAGACAAUAAAAUGGGAAAGCCUAUCAUCUAGACCUGCUUCGUCCAAAAUUAUGGGGUGAAAGGCAGAGACUAGUGCUACUCUCAGAGUCAAGGGAUAAAAGAAUGUUGGUCCCAUCAUAUUUCCAUUUCAUUCAUCAGCUUACCCUGAGAAAAUAAUGGCUGCAUUAUGAUAAAGGCUAGACUACUAUGAACUUAACCAACUAGCAGCCUCAGAUGCAGUUGCUGCAGAAGAUGAGCUACUCUCGCAGAUAAAAACAGGCUCGGUUACACAGCAUGCGGCAAACAGUAC